AGCGAACGCUGGCGGUAGGCCUAACACAUGCAAGUCGAACGGCAGCACAGUAAGAGCGUGCUCUUACGGGUGGCGAGUGGCGGACGGGUGAGGAGUAUAUCGGAAUCUACUCUUUGGUGGGGCAUAACGUAGGGAGGCUUACGCUAAUACAGCAUAUGCCCUACGGGUGAAAGCAGGGGAUCGUCGGACCUGGCGCGAUUGAAUGAGCCGAUGACGGAUUAGCUAGUUGGCGGGGUAAAGGCCCACUAAGUCGACGAUCCGUAGCUGGACUGAGAGGAGGGUCGCCCACACUGGAACGUGGACAGGCACCAGGGUACUGCGAGAGGCAGCAGUGGGGAAUAUUAGGCAAUGGGGGCGAGCAUUGUCCAGUGAUACCGCGCGGGUGAAGAAGGCCUUCGGGUUGGAAAGCCCUUUUGUUGGGAAAGAAAAGCAGCAGGUUAAGACGCCGCUUUUCUGACGGUACUCGAAGAAUAAGCACCGGCUAACUACGUG
rnacentral:rRNA from 1 species